rnacentral:rRNA from 1 species
UACGGGGGGGGCAAGCGUUGUUCGGAAUUACUGGGCGUAAAGGGCUCGUAGGCGGCCAACUAAGUCAGACGUGAAAUCCCUCGGCUUAACCGGGGAACUGCGUCUGAUACUGGAUGGCUUGAGUUUGGGAGAGGGAUGCGGAAUUCCAGGUGUAGCGGUGGAAUGCGCAGAUAUCAGGAGGAACACCGGUGGCGAAGGCGGGAUCCUGGGCCAGUACUGACGCUGAGGAGCGAAAGCGUGGGGAGCAAACAGG